AUCAUUUGGAAUAAACAAUAAAUAAUUCAGGAGAUGAGUUAAAUAAGUAAUAGUGUGAUAUCUAUUUCUUUGGUGGCACUAUUGCCUUGCUUUACUUAUUAAUGGACUUAAUAGACACCAUGCCUCGCCAUGAAGGGCAAAGUCUAAGAAGCCCACAGUGAGUCUCUUGAAGUGAGUACUUAAAGGAAAGAGAAAGUUGCAGCUUUCUUCAUCUUGCCCUGUUUUGUCCGUCUUUGGGAAGUGUUGAGACGUGGAGUACAGUCCAGAAUAUUUAAUGUUUUUUUGGGGGGGAGGAGGGGGGAGUAUUAAAAAAAAAAAAUUAUUAUGAAGUGACAUGAGCCAGCUGUGGGGAUCCUGAAUCCUCAAUUCAUACAACAAAACUCCCCUGUCCAGAAUAUCCUCCGUGCUCCAAAAAUACCCUCCCCCGUAACAUCCACCCUUCUCAGGGAGCAGAUAGAAUAUCUUUCUCCAUAUCUGGCAACCAUGACCACAAAUUAAGACGGAGCUUCUGUAAAGCUUGUGUAGCUCUGGGAUUUAUGAGCCCCCAAAAGGAAACAGAAACUUUUCAAAUUUUAAUUCUGCGUGGGUGUGAACACUUUCGGUCCGCAGAUAACUGUGAUACUACGGCUUUCUUAAGCCGUCCCAGACCGAAGCGUUUCCUGAAACAGGAACGUUGGGAAGAAUCCAGCCACACACUGUAACACCUCUGAGCCGAAAGGAAAAAAAAUAAAAAAUUGCUCCUGCAGUGGCUGUCAAGUGACUCAUCGUUUCUUUUUUUUUCUUUUUUUUUUUUACAGUUCUGCAACCUGUUCACGUGUCGACUUUAAAAUGCCUAAUUGCAACAAGCAAAAUGACAGGUAAGCUCACUCAAAGUCAGCCACAAGCCACAAAAAAAGUAAAAGUAUCAUUAUGACCGUCUAAUGGGCUCCCCUUCCUGCAAUUCUCGGGUUAAUACACAGAGAACGUUGCAGCUGGCAGGGAACUGAGAAGGACUGAGGCAAUGCAGGCUUUGCAGAGCAGCAGGAGUAUUUCAGCAGACGGAUGGACGGGAGCGCGCCGUCCUCCUGAAACACGGCCGACCGCAGCCAGAGGUUGUAAAUCUGGCCGUGUCUGAACUUCAGCGCUGCGCGAGCAUGCACCUGAACGCACCGUGCACUGCAAUGCUGCAGUCUGGACCGGACAACAAACAACGCUGCACAAGCAUGUUGAUCAAAUCCUAAUUUUAAUGUCAGCAUUUUUUUUUUUCUUUUUGUUUAUUUCACUCCAAACACAUGCAGCUAUAUGUGUUCACAAGAGUGUGUUCCAGUGUGCAGGGCUAUAUUUAGGAGGAUGUGGACCCCCCGAGCUAGAGCCGGUUUUGGCACCCUACCCACACACACACUUCUUUUACCCAUGCAAAUUUCAGCAGACUGAAAGCUAGGGACACACCAACUGCAUCACUUCUUCAACUAUUAUAGCAACAAUGUCAAACCUGUA